UAUCAAAGGUGAGCCAGUACAGGAUGGACCCGCGUCUGAUUAGCUAGUUGGUAAGGUAACGGCUUACCAAGGCGACGAUCAGUAGCCGACCUGAGAGGGUGAUCGGCCACAUUGGAACUGAGACACGGUCCAAACUCCUACGGGAGGCAGCAGGGGGGAAUAUUGCACAAUGGGCGAAAGUCUGAUGCAGCAACGCCGCGUGAGUGAUGAAGGCCUUCGGGUCGUAAAACUCUGUCCUCAAGGAAGAUAAUGACGGUACUUGAGGAGGAAGCCCCGGCUAACUACGUGCCAGCAGCCGCGGUA
rnacentral:rRNA from 1 species